AUUUUGUGGCGUUAAGUAGGCGCGCGCGGGCGGCGCCCCGCUCAUUUCCUCGCAGCGGCGGGCAGGGCUGGCUUCUGCUGGCGCUUCGCCUCCGCUCGGGCCUUAGCUGCUUUUCCUCCCGGACCCUAGAGGUGGGUGCCUGCUCAUCUCUCUCCGCUGAGGACCCUGCGGCGCCUCCCUAUGCCCUGUAGCUCUCCUCCUUACUGGACUCUGUUGGGCCGCCGCUCCGGCGCUCCCCCUCCGGUGUGAGGCGCUUCCCGCUUAGGGCCGCGCCGUCUCUCACCUCGUCCUCCUUCCUUCGGGCUUAUUCUCUUUAGCCGCCGCCCCUCGGGGGCUCUCGCCCGCCAUGAGUUACGGGCGCCCUCCGCCAGACGUGGAGGGCAUGACGUCCCUCAAGGUGGACAACCUGACCUACCGUACGUCCCCGGACACGCUUCGGAGGGUCUUCGAGAAGUACGGCCGCGUAGGCGACGUCUACAUCCCCCGGGACCGCUACACCAAGGAGAGCCGCGGGUUCGCUUUCGUCCGUUUCCACGACAAACGUGAUGCCGAGGACGCGAUGGACGCCAUGGACGGGGCCGUGCUGGAUGGCCGUGAGCUCCGUGUGCAGAUGGCUCGCUACGGCCGCCCGCCCGACUCGCACCACAGCCGGCGUGGGCCGCCGCCGCGCCGCUACGGGAGCAGUGGCUACGGCCGCCGCAGCCGCAGCCCUAGAAGACGCCGUCGCAGCCGAUCUAGAAGCAGGAGCCGCUCUAGAUCCCGCAGUCGGUCCCGCUACAGUCGGUCUAAAUCCCGCUCUCGCACACGGUCUCGGUCUCGUUCCACCUCGAAGUCCAGGUCUGCCAGGAGAUCCAAGUCAAAGUCCUCGUCUGUCUCCAGAUCCCGGUCCAGGUCAAGAUCCCGAUCCAGAUCUCGAAGCCCUCCCCCUGCGUCAAAGAGGGAAUCCAACUCUAGAUCCAGAUCUAAGAGCCCUCCCAAGUCUCCGGAAGAAGAAGGAGCUGUGUCUUCUUAGGCUCAUGGUAAUGUACCUCGGGAUCAGCACAUGGUGCAUGUUACUUUAUUGUAGCACUUAGCCGGGGUGUUGGGUAGUCCUUAGACUAUUAAAGGCUUGAACCAAGUGAAUCCUAACGGGGCACAUUGUUAGUUAUUUUGGUUUGGUUUUUCUUUUCUUGAGCAGUGCUCUUUUUUUGGUUACUGAUAUAGGGAAAUUAAUACCGAAGGGCUUUCUACGGAGAACCUUUGUUUCUUUUGACAGAGCAAAUGUUUUAUUGAGAGAUUAAUGGCUUGGUUUUAAUAAAAAGAACUAUUGUAUGAGACGCAACCUAUGAUGAAAAAUGACUAUUUCUUACUGUAUUUAUCCAACAUCUGCAUUUUCCCCUUUAAAGCUGCGGUCUCCUGUUUGCUAAAAGAAUAUUGGCCAGUAUUGCAGAUUUUAACUGAUUUGGCUGAUCCUCCAGGGACCAGUUUCUGUGGGCGUGUAUUGGAGCAGGUUUGUCUUUAAAUGUUAAAGAUACACUAUCCUUUUGUAACAGAAGAUCGGUUCAGUGGCCGUUAUCUGACUGGAGGUAAUAACUGUUCUAGCAAAGUGGCAAAUUCCUUGCAACGAGAAAACCAUGGAAACUAGUUUUUCCUCAGGUCGACAUCUUGGAAGAGGCAUCUUAAGGAUACACCGGGUGGGGAAAGGAUAGUGUGUCUUUAACCCUUCGAACUGUUUGGUCCUGUUGUUUUUUUUUAAAAGGAAAGGGCCUGAGCUAGCUCUGAAGUUAGAUAAAUGUAGCAAAUGUAGUCACUUCGGUUUGAAAUGCUAAUUAGAGUUUAGUUCAGUCUCGAUGAAGAAGUGUUAGUUUUGUAACUUUUAUAUCACUUUUUAAUACUCCAUUGUUGAACAGGCUGAAUUGAAGUUAAUGCUGGCUUGCUCUACAGCCUGAUGCUUGUUCCUCUCUUAACUAAAUACACUGACAGAAGCUUACAUUUGGCCUCUGAAGUAAAGCAACAUGUUGGGGGGGGAGGUGGAACACGGUGGAAGUUGCUAAAACUUGGAACUAAAUUAGGCAAAGCCAGUUGAAAACACACCUAGCAGUAUGCCUGAAGUCAUCCACACAAGCCCGGGAGAGCAAGGUAGGAACCUGGCUGAAUUUCUCUCUCUUCAAACCUAGAUGCAUCAGAUAAAUGCGAACCCACAUAAAGGACGCCUUUGGGGGGAAAAAAGAUCGCUUGAGUCUUCAGUCCCUUGGAGAGAGCCCUGGCACGAGCAACCAGCCGAUGAAAAAGGCGCAGUUGUGUAGCAGUUGAGUAAUGCUGGUUAGCUGUUAAGGUGGCGUGUUGCAGUGCAGAGUGCUUGGCUGUUUCCUGUUUUCUCCUGAUUGCUCCUGUGUAACGAUGCCUUGUCGUGCAGAAACACAUGGCUGUCCCGUUAAUUAAAAUGCCUUGACAACUGCACUUCCAGUCACCCGGGCCUUGCGUAAAAAUAAUGGAGCAUACAGUGAGCACAUCUAGCUGGUGAUAUACACACCUUAUUUUUUCCAGAAUGGUAAAAAACAAAACCACUUACCAACCUGCGGUAAGACGAACUUAACAGAUGAGAGAAAUUGUAAUGUUAAGAAAGAAAUGGUUCAUUCCUCUGUAAGUACUUGAUUGGUGUACCUUUGGCUUCAGACAUUCUGUACUAUACCCACAUGUCUCUGUAGUUAAGAUUAAACAUGGUUUUUUUUCCCCUCUGUGUUAACUUUUCUCAACUUCAAAUGUCCCGAGUCGGCUUAUU